UGGAGUCCUCUUUUGGCAGGACGCCAGCUCCAACGGAGGGUGUCUGGUGCUUCCGGUCGGCGGAGUUCGCGGAGUCCGAGGAGUCCGCGCCCGGGUGCUAUCGUUUUUAAUGGUGCACGUCCAAUUUGAUUACAACUGUCAUCUGUUUUGGGCCCCGCUGCUGCUGGGGUGGCCAGUAAUUGGCCAAAAAAAGCAAAACACCAUUUGGGCCACUGUCUAAUGAAGUAAUUUCAAUUAGCGGUCGUCGAGGCUGGCGGAGAGAAGCUCCAGCCAGUUGCACAAGAAGGCGUCGCAAAAUUUCAGAGAUUUUUAAAUUCCACAAACUAACAACUUGGAUGCUCUGGAAAUUCAGGUUUUGACUUCAGUUUGUGCAAGAGAUUCAAGAAGAGCUUGUUAUUCAUCUUUAAGAGGUUAUUGGAUAACUGCAUGAUAUCUAAACAGAUAAUCCUCUGCGAUAAGUAAGACGAAAAAGGAUUAAACCGGCAAGAGUCCCACACCGGAAACUGACAAUAAGGAUAUUCUUCCUUUUUAUUAAACAUUAUUUACAACACUAUUAUGAAUUGUAACAUAUAAAAGUUGAAAAUGUACUAAAAUUA